rnacentral:rRNA from 1 species
AGGGAAAGAGGGAGGAAGGCAGAACACAUGCAAGUCGAGCGGAUGAAGGGAGCUUGCUCCUGGAUUCAGCGGCGGACGGGUGAGUAAUGCCUAGGAAUCUGCCUGGUAGUGGGGGAUAACGUCCGGAAACGGGCGCUAAUACCGCAUACGUCCUGAGGGAGAAAGUGGGGGAUCUUCGGACCUCACGCUAUCAGAUGAGCCUAGGUCGGAUUAGCUAGUUGGUGGGGUAAAGGCCUACCAAGGCGACGAUCCGUAACUGGUCUGAGAGGAUGAUCAGUCACACUGGAACUGAGACACGGUCCAGACUCCUACGGGAGGCAGCAGUGGGGAAUAUUGGACAAUGGGCGAAAGCCUGAUCCAGCCAUGCCGCGUGUGUGAAGAAGGUCUUCGGAUUGUAAAGCACUUUAAGUUGGGAGGAAGGGCAGUAAGUUAAUACCUUGCUGUUUUGACGUUACCAACAGAAUAAGCACCGGCUAACUUCGUG